GGGGAUAUAGCUCAGUUGGUAGAGUUUUUGCCUUGCAUGCACAAGGCCCUGGGUACAAUCCCCAGCACCA
rnacentral:tRNA from 1 species